CGACCGCAAGUCCCGGCUCGCCCGGCGCCUGCGCGGCAGCGGGGGUGGGAGCUGCGGACGGCCAUGUGCGCGGCGGAGAGGCCGGGUGGCCACCGAACCUUCCCGCCUGUUCUGCGUGGCUCACACCUGUAAUCCCAGUGCUUUGGGAGGCCGAGGCAGAUGGAUCACUUGAGGCCAGGAGUUCCAGACCAGCCUGGCCAACACGGCGAAACCCCAUCUCUACUAAAAAUACAAAAAAUUAGCCAGGCCUGGUGGUGCACGCUUGUAAUCCCAGGUACUUGGGAGGCUAAGGCAGGAGGAUCACUUGAACCCAGGGGAGGCUGCAGUGAGCUGAGAUCGUGCCACUGCACUCCAGCUUGGGCAACAGAGCAAGACUCCAUCUUAAAAAGAAGAAAGAAAGAACUUCUAUUUUUUAAAUGUUUUUUCCUUUCAUUGAACUCCAUUUAUAGCCUUUCCAUUCAGAGCAUAAAGAUUAAAUUUUAAAACAAGGCUUGGCACCCUGGCUUAUGCCUGUAAUCCCAGCACUUUGUGAGGCCAAGGUGGGCGGAUCACCUGAGCUCAGAAGUUUGAGUCCAGCCUGGCUAACAUGGUGAAACCCCAUCUCUAAAAGAGUACACAGUCCUAGAGCAGUGGUGUGCGCCUGUAGUCCUAGCUACCUGGGAGGCUGAACCAGGAGAAUUGCUUGAGCCUGGGAGGCAGAGGUUGCAGUGAGCCAAGAUCGCACCAUUACACUCCAGCCUGGGUGACAGAGAGAGACCCUGUGCCCCUCAAAAAAAUGUUUUUUUUAAACAAGAAUCUCUCAGGCAUACUGAAAUGUUGAAGAGGAAAUUAUAUUAAUAUCUGGGACUUGUUUCCAAAUUUGGAAUUGGGGCAGGGUGUAAAUUGUUGGCAAUAUCAAAGAAACGAGGAGUUGGAAUGAUAAUUGUAGAAGCUGCAUGAUAGAUACACAUUCUUUAUACUUCUGUAUAUGUUGAAAUUUUUUAUCAAAUUAUAAUUGUGUAUAAUGACUAAUUAUGCUUUCAUUGUCUAUUCUGUGUGGUUAUGUUACUUGCUGAAAUUAAUACAUAAAGAGUCUUCAACUUAAAUGACUUAUCAAGCAUAAAUAUUAAAAUACUGGAUGUUACUACACAUUUGACUCCACUUAUGCAUUUAUUCAUCAACUAUUAAAUGCUUUCAUGUAGAUUUCUCAUUUAAUCUCUGCAAGGUAGGUGUUACCCCUGGUUUUACAAAUGAGAAAAUGUAGAUUCAAGAUAAGUAAUAUGCAGGUCAAGAAUAGCAAAAUCGGUCGGGUGCGGUACCUCACGCCUGUAAUCCCAACACUUUGAGAGGCCGAAGUGGGUGGAUCACCUGAGGUCAGGAGUUCAAUCCCAGCCUAGCCAAUACAGUGAAACCCCAUCUCUACUAAAAAUACAAAAAUUAGCCAGGCAUGAUGGCAGGUGCCUGUAAUACCAACUACUCGGGGGGUUGAGGGAGGAGAAUCGUUUGAACCCGGGAGGUGGAGGUUGCAGUGGCCCGAGAUUGUGUCACUGCACUCCAGCCUGGGCGACAGAGCUAGACUCCAUCUAAAAAAAAUGAAAAUAGCAAAAUUACAACUUUUCCCCCAUUUGGUCUUCCACCUGGAAACUCAUGUUUUAUUUCUACUGUUACCAUGCUGCUUCUCAGACAUGCCUGACUGUUUCUUCCCGUGCUGUUUUCCUUUAGGAGUGAAAGCUUGGCACAACAUGUACAAUAAAAUUUAGGGAAGAUUUUUGGGGUCUUUGUCCUCUUCUUUCCUGUUAAAGCAGCUAGAGUCAGUAGGCAGGACCUAAGGUGUACUACACCAUAAGGAAGCCAUGGAACGGUGAACUGGCAAAAUUCUAGACCCAACUCAUGAAAUUUUGGUUCUUCAAGAAUUUCUUUGACUGCUAUUACCUGUAUUUGUGUUGAUUACUGUUCAAUAUACUGGGUCUCAUCUCACUUUCA
rnacentral:lncRNA from 1 species